GCUGAUAAAAGUCUAAGAACGCUCAUUCUCUGCUCCAAAUGGUGGUUCAACACUGAGCACUAUGUAUUGUCAGCCAGAAAGAAUUCUGUUGAAAGCUUAAUGAACCAGCUAAUGAACCAUUCUGCACGAGAGAGGAAAUGAGGUCAAUUGAAGUCAAGGAAUCAAGAAAGAAGAGGAUUGAGAGCAAAGGAAGCUGUAUCUUCUCGACUAGCUGCAAAGAACUGUGCUGUGCCCCGUUUCUAUCUUUCUUGAGUUCCAGCGAACGAAAGGUCAGGAACUUCAAGUUUGUCACACAGUCAUCAUCAGCUCAGUCUAAGGCCCUACUGAUAUCUGAUUAUCAUCUGCCUUCAAACGCCAAACUCGCUGGAUAUAGAACAAGUAUCUUGGGAGAAAAGUAAGGAAGCAGGCUGCACAGACACUAAGAAACUUCAAAAUUACAAAGAGCUCAAGUCAGCUGUAUUAAUCCUCAGGUAAAAUAUUCUGAAAAGCGACUCUGCUGACAGCAAGUUUAAACAUAGCUCGAUCGGUUCACUUGAAACUUGUAUGUGAGAAGGAAGCCGAGGAAGUCCUCGAGCGAAGAGACAACGAUUAACAGCAAAAGGUUAGUUACUUCUCUAAAAAAUAUACAGAAAUCAAAGACGUAUAUUCCGAUUUAGAUAUUCUACUAGAGAUAUCUAAAAAAAAAUUCUAUAUUAGAAAAAAAUAUUAUUUACAAACUUCUAAUUACAAGCAUCG